AUGACUUCCAUGUUUUCUGGAGAAAUCAUCCUGACUCAGUCUCCUGGAGUUCAGUCUGUUGUUCCAGGACAGACUGUCUCUCUCAGAUGUAAAGCCAGUUCAGGUGUUACUAAUGACUUGCACUGGUACCUUCAGAAACCUGGAGAAGCUCCUAAACUCCUGAUUUAUGAUGCUCAAACCCGUCAGUCUGGAGUUUCAGAUCGUUUCAGUGGGAGUCAGUCUGGAACUGACUUCACUUUGACCAUCAGAGGAGUCCAGACUGAAGAUGCUGGAGUUUAUUACUGUCAGCAGUAUUACAGCUUCCCGUUCACACAGUGA